AUUGAACGCUGGCGGCAGGCCUAACACAUGCAAGUCGAGCGGAGCGGCGGACGGGUGCGUAAUGCUAGGGAAUCUGCCUGGUAGUGGGGGAUAACGUCCGGAAAUGGGCGCUAAUACCGCAUACUAUCACAUGCGCUUAGGUCGGAUUGGCUGGUUGGUGGGGUAAAGGCAUACCAGGGCGACGAUCCGUAACUGGUCUGAGAGGAUGAUCGGUCACACUGGAACUGGGACACGGUCCAGACUCCUACGGGAGGCAGCAGUGGGGAAUAUUGGACAAUGGGCGAAAGCCUGAUGCAGCCAUGCGGCGUGUGUGAAGAAGGUCUUCGGAUUGUAAAGUACGUUAAGUGGGGAGGCGUUACCAGCAGAAUAAGCACCGGCUAACUACGUGCCAGCAGCCGCGGUAAUUC
rnacentral:rRNA from 1 species